GAUGAACGCUGGCGGCGUGCUUAACACAUGCAAGUCGAACGAUGAAGCCGGAGCUUGCUCCGGUGGAUUAGUGGCGAACGGGUGAGUAACACGUGAGCAAUCUGCCCUUGACUCUGGGAUAACUGCGGGAAACUGUAGCUAAUACCGGAUACGACACCUUGGGGCAUCCCAGGGUGUGGAAAGAAUUUCGGUCAAGGAUGAGCUCGCGGCCUAUCAGCUAGUUGGUGAGGUAAUGGCUCACCAAGGCGACGACGGGUAGCCGGCCUGAGAGGGUGACCGGCCACACUGGAACUGGGACACGGUCCAGACUCCUACGGGAGGCAGCAGUGGGGAAUAUUGCGCAAUGGGCGAAAGCCUGAUGCAGCAACGCCGCGUGAGGGAUGAAGGCCUUCGGGUUGUAAACCUCUUUUAGCAGGGAAGAAGCGAAAGUGACGGUACCUGCAGAAAAAGCACCGGCUAACUACGUGCCAGCCGCCGCAGUAA
rnacentral:rRNA from 1 species